CCUACGGGUGGCAGCAGUGAGGAAUAUUGGUCAAUGGGCGAGAGCCUGAACCAGCCAAGUCGCGUGAGGGAGUACUGCCCUAUGGGUUGUAAACCUCUUUUGUCGGGGAGCAAAAGCCGGACGUGUCCGGCUGUGAGAGUACCCGAAGAAAAAGCAUCGGCUAACUCCGUGCCAGCAGCCGCGGUAAUACGGAGGAUGCGAGCGUUAUCCGGAUUUAUUGGGUUUAAAGGGUGCGCAGGCGGAUUUUUAAGUCAGCGGUAAAAUCGUGGGGCUCAACCCCAUCCAGCCGUUGAAACUGGGGAUCUAGAGUGUGCGAGAGGUAGGCGGAAUGCGUGGUGUAGCGGUGAAAUGCAUAGAUAUCACGCAGAACCCCGAUUGCGAAGGCAGCAUACCGGUGCACAACUGACGCUCAGGCACGAAAGCGUGGGUAUCGAACAGGAUUAGAUACCCCGGUAGUC
rnacentral:rRNA from 1 species